rnacentral:rRNA from 1 species
UACGUAGGGUGCGAGCGUUGUCCGGAAUUAUUGGGCGUAAAGAGCUCGUAGGCGGUCUGUUGCGUCCGCUGUGAAAACUCGGGGCUUAACCCCGAGCCUGCAGUGGAUACGGGCAGACUAGAGGUAGGUAGGGGAGAAUGGAAUUCCCGGUGUAGCGGUGAAAUGCGCAGAUAUCGGGAGGAACACCGGUGGCGAAGGCGGCAUCCUGGACCGGCAUUGACGCUGAGGCGCGAAAGCCAGGGGAGCAAAGCGGG